AUGAACGCUGGCGGCGUGCCUAAUACAUGCAAGUCGAGCGAACGGACGAGAAGCUUGCUUCUCUGAUGUUAGCGGUGGACGGGUGAGUAACACGUGGAUAACCUACCUAUAAGACUGGGAUAACUUCGGGAAACCGGAGCUAAUACCGGAUGAUAUUUUGAACCGCAUGGUUCAAAAGUGAAAGACGGUCUUGCUGUCACUUAUAGAUGGAUCCGCGCUGCAUUAGCUAGUUGGUAAGGUAACGGCUUACCAAGGCAACGAUGCAUAGCCGACCUGAGAGGGUGAUCGGCCACACUGGAACUGAGACACGGUCCAGACUCCUACGGGAGGCAGCAGUAGGGAAUCUUCCGCAAUGGGCGAAAGCCUGACGGAGCAACGCCGCGUGAGUGAUGAAGGUCUUCGGAUCGUAAAACUCUGUUAUUAGGGAAGAACAUAUGUGUAAGUAACUGUGCACAUCUUGACGGUACCUAAUCAGAAAGCCACGGCUAACUACGUG
rnacentral:rRNA from 1 species